rnacentral:misc_RNA from 1 species
UUUUGCCCCUGCCCCAAAGUGUUAACAAAAACACAGAGGAAAAAAAUGGAAAGCAGCAGCAACAAGGAGCAAGUAGUGGAUGUGCAAUCAGUAGUGGAAGCUAUUUUCACCGAUGACGAUGAUGCCCCUCUCUACCAGGUUGAAAGCCUCUGUAUGCAUUGCGGUGAAAAUGGAGUAACGAGGCUUUUAUUGACACUAAUCCCACACUUCAGAAAGAUCUUGUUAUCGGCCUUUGAAUGUCCACACUGUGGUGAGAGGAACAAUGAAGUCCAGUUUGCUGGUGAAAUCCAGCCACGAGGCUGUUGUUAUCGCUUGGAGGUGUCAUCAGGCGAUCAGAAGGUGCUUAAUAGACAAGUAAUAAAAUCUGAAUCUGCCACCAUAAAGAUUCCUGAAUUGGAUUUUGAAAUUCCUCCAGAGGCACAACGUGGCAGUUUAUCAACAGUGGAAGGGAUUUUGGCACGAGCUGCGGAUGAAUUAGAAGCACUUCAAGAAGAGCGGAAGAAAGUUGAUCCUCAGACUGCUGAAGCAAUUGACCGGUUUUUAUUGAAAUUGAAAGCUUGUGCAACUGGAGAUUCAUCUUUCACCUUCAUCCUAGAUGAUCCUGCUGGAAACAGCUUCAUUGAGAAUCCGUUUGCUCCAUCCUCGGAUCCAUCGUUGACUAUUAAGUUUUAUGAGCGAACUCCAGAGCAACAGGUGUCAUUGGGAUAUUUAGUGGAACCAAUUCAAUUGGGAGAAUCUGGCAACAGACCACCAUCAGAGGUGACAGGCAGUGUUUCUGAACAAAAAAGAGAACCUCAUGGAUCAGUUGGAGCAGUGGCUGGUCAUCGGGCCAUUGCUCAGAGUAACAAUGCAGAAAUUGCAGAUGCUAUCUUUCGGUACUCUGCACCAGAAGAGGUGAUGACUUUCCCAUCAAGUUGUGGAGCUUGUGCCAGCAGGUGUGAGACACGAAUGUUUGUCACCAAAAUUCCAUACUUCCAAGAAGUAAUUGUCAUGGCAUCCACUUGUGAUGCCUGUGGUUAUCGCAAUUCUGAGUUGAAACCUGGUGGGCCAAUUCCUGAAAAAGGAAAGAGAAUCACUCUACAUGUGAAGAACAUUAAUGACCUAAGCCGAGAUGUAAUAAAGUCAGAUACUGCAAGCGUGAAAGUCCCAGAGCUUGAGUUGGAGCUGGCUAGUGGUACAUUGGGGGGAGUUGUUACAACUGUUGAAGGUUUAAUUACAAAAAUUAGUGAAAGCCUUGAGAGAGUGCAUGGGUUUACCUUUGGAGAUAGUCUCGAUGAACAUAAAAAAAACAAGUGGCAAGACUUUAAAGCAAGGCUGACCAAGCUUUUGAAUGUGGAAGAGCCAUGGACCUUAAUUCUUGAUGAUGGAUUAGCAAAUUCUUUUAUUGCACCAGCAACUGAUGAUAUCAAGGAUGACCAUCAAUUACUAUUUGAGGAAUAUGGGAGGUCCUGGGAGCAAAAUGAGGAGUUGGGACUGAAUGAUAUUGACACUUCCUCUGCUGAUGCUGCUUAUAACUUGACAGACACUACCUUAAAUCAGAAAACAGAAGAGUAAAUUAUUUUGCUGCCUUAAAAUGUAUAAUUAUUUCAUGUAAUCUUUUUACUCAAAACUUUUGAGGAAAAAAAGAAAAAGAAAUUAUACAAUUUAGUCAUGUUUUAAAAUAUUUGUAUCGUAGCUGAUGUUGUGUUACGUAGGACUUUUUGUGCAC